ensembl:rRNA 5S_rRNA 5S ribosomal RNA
GUCUAUGGCCAUACCACCCUGAACACGCCCAAUCUCGUCUGAUCUCGGAAACUAAGCAGGAUCGGGCCUGGUUAGUACUUGGAUGGGAGAACACACAUAUUGCUAUGCCCA